AUUGAACGCUGGCGGCAUGCCUUACACAUGCAAGUCGAACGGUAACAGGUCUUCGGAUGCUGACGAGUGGCGAACGGGUGAGUAAUACAUCGGAACGUGCCUAGUAGUGGGGGAUAACUACUCGAAAGAGUGGCUAAUACCGCAUGAGAUCUACGGAUGAAAGCAGGGGAUCGCAAGACCUUGUGCUACUAGAGCGGCCGAUGGCAGAUUAGGUAGUUGGUGGGAUAAAAGCUUACCAAGCCGACGAUCUGUAGCUGGUCUGAGAGGACGAUCAGCCACACUGGGACUGAGACACGGCCCAGACUCCCACGGGAGGCAGCAGUGGGGAAUUUUGGACAAUGGGCGAAAGCCUGAUCCAGCAAUGCCGCGUGCAGGAUGAAGGCCUUCGGGUUGUAAACUGCUUUUGUACGGAACGAAAAGCCCUGGGUUAAUACCCUGGGGUCAUGACGGUACCGUAAGAAUAAGCACCGGCUAACUACGUGCCAGCAGCCGCAGUAAAAC
rnacentral:rRNA from 1 species